CCCCUAGAUGUUCUGGGCCGCACGCGCGCUACACUGAACAGUUCAACAAGUCUUCACCUUGGCCGAUAGGUCUGGGUAAUCUUUGAACGCUGUUCGUGAUUGGGAUAGACCUUUGCAAUUAUGGGUCUUCAACGAGGAAUUCCUAGUAAACGCAAGUCAUCAGCUUGCAUUGAUUACGUCCCUGCCCUUUGUACACACCGCCCGUCGCACCUACCGAUUGAAUGGUCCGGUGAAAUCUCGGGACGGCGGCUUGGUCGCUUGCGUCCGACUGCUGAAACUUGAUUAAACCAUAUCAUUUAGAGGAAGGUGAAGUCGUAACA
rnacentral:rRNA from 1 species